rnacentral:rRNA from 1 species
AUUGAACGCUGGCGGCAGGCCUAACACAUGCAAGUCGAGCGGAGCGGCGGACGGGUGAGUAAUGCCUAGGAAUCUGCCUGGUAGUGGGGGAUAACGUCCGGAAACGGGCGCUAAUACCGCAUACUAUCAGAUGAGCCUAGGUAGGAUUAGCUAGUUGGUGGGGUAAAGGCCUACCAAGGCGACGACCCGUAACUGGUCUAAGAGGAGGAUCAGCCACACAGGAACUGAGGAACGGCCCACAAUCCUACGGGAGGCAGCAGUGGGGAAUAUUGCGCAAAGGGGGAAACCCUGAUGCAGCAACGCCGCGCGCGGGCUGACGGCCAUCGGGUUGUAAGCCGCUUUAAGCCCUGACGCGGUAGUGGCAGAAGAAGCACCGGCUAACUACGUGCCAGCAGCCGCGGUAAUUC